UUCCCUAUGCCUGCAAGGUCUGUCUGGAGAUAGGUCUCUAGGGGGCCCUGUGCUCCCGUAUGCCAGGCUCCCGCGAGGUGUGUGCAAGGAUGCGUGCUGUUGCUGCUUCAGGUACCCUGGGUUCUGUCCACCCGGGCUGCAAGUCAGCUCCUGUGUAGCAGCAGGAAGCCUCCCUGUAGGGGCAGACCUCGGUGGGAUUCGAACCCGUGGACCGCUCACCUGAAGAACGGCCAGCUGGGGAAGGGUUAACCUUACCUUACCCUGGCCUCCACCUCCAGAGAAGCUUGUCUGCGAUAGGGUCACGGGAGUCUAGUUUCAAGGUCUGAGGCAGCUUUUCAUUGCCGCCUGGAAAGAGAACAAGCAUCCGGCGGGCUGAGAAAGCAGAACCAAGAACGGAAGGGGGGCUUCUCUUGGCCGAGUCCUUCCCCGGCCGGCCCUGGUUGAGCUGGAGCUCCCUGGCUGUGUUCACCCUGCUGGCCGGACCCCCCUGCUUUGGGGGAGCCAGGCUGGUGUUCCCAAAACUCAGGCUGGUGGCUUAGCGUUAGUGACUCCAUUCGGGGAUGGUCCAGCGCCGCAGCCUGCCUCCUGAAGACCGCUGCCAGGUCUAAGCUGAGCACAGCUUGCUGGCAGGGCCUCUCCCAGCAGCUUUCUGCCCGCAGAGGCAGGCAGACUUGUGAUCAGCCGAGAUCCAACCUGUCUGGGAAGGCAGGAUCCCGGAACCCUUGCCUUACCUGGCAUAUUUUACACACACAGACACACUUUUGCACCCCCUUCAGCAGGUGAUAUAUGCCAAUCUAACAGCUCAGUUUCCUGCUGUUUAAAAAGAAAUCACCUAAAAAAGCCUGGCAAGCUACCCCGGCCCCGCCGGCUCAGCAUCACUCACUGCCCAUGCGCUGUGACUGCCUGUUACUCUCCCAGCGGGCACCCUGCCUCCCGAGUCUUGCACCUGCACGCAUACUGGAGUCUGGAACAGCUGAGCACUGGCCAGCGCUCUGGAACUGUAGGGCUUGCUGGGAGUCGGCUGUCCUUGUUCCUCUGGAGUUCAGUAGCUCAGAGACGUCCAUCACAGGGGGAGAAUCAGCAUCUGAAGAACAAAGACGGUUUCUGUGCAGAGCUGUGGUUCCCGAGUGCUCCCUGACGCUGCCAUCCCUCUUUUAACACAGAAUGUUUAGGUCACGUAGGCCGGCCUCAAACUUGAGCAUCUCCUGCCUCAGCUCCCUCCGUGCUGGGAUUAUGGACGUUCGCCACCCAACCAGCUGGAUAGAGUUUCUUUAUCCAUUAAAAAAACACCGAGAUGACACUUGCAA